GAAUGGCAUCACGAGGGCUUAACUGUCUCCCCUCCCCAGUCAAUGAAAUUGAUCUCCCCGUGCAGAAGCGGGGAUAAUACCAUAAGACGAGAAGACCCUAUGGAGCUUUAGACGUCAGAGCAGCCCAUGUAAAGCACCCCUUAACAAAGGAAAAAACCAAAUGAAGCCUGCCCUAAUGUCUUUGGUUGGGGCGACCGCGGGGAAAUACAAAACCCCCAUGUGGAGUAGGAAUACACAUUCCUAAACCCAAGAGCUCCCGCUCUAAUGAACAGAAAUUCUGACCAAUAAGAUCCGGCACACGCCGAUCAACGGACCGAGUUACCCUAGGGAUAACAGCGCAAUCCCCUUAAAGAGCCCUUAUCGACAAGGGGGUUUACGACCUCGAUGUUGGAUCAGGACAUCCUAAUGGUGCAGCCGCUAUUAAGGGUUCG
rnacentral:rRNA from 1 species